rnacentral:rRNA from 1 species
CGAGGACGAACGCUGGCGGUGUGCUUCACACAUGCAAGUCGAACGAGGUAGCAAUACCUAGUGGCGGACGGGUGAGUAACGCGUGGGAAUCUGCCUUUAGAUGGGGGAUAACGGGUCGAAAGACUCGCUAAUACCGCAUAUGACGAAAGUUGAAAGGAGUAAUCCGUCUAAAGAUGAGCCCGCGUCCGAUUAGCUAGUUGGUAGAGUAAAAGCCUACCAAGGCGACGAUCGGUAGCUGGUCUGAGAGGAUGAUCAGCCACAAUGGGACUGAGACACGGCCCAUACUCCUACGGGAGGCAGCAGUGGGGAAUUUUACGCAAUGGGCGAAAGCCUGACGUAGCGACACCGCGUGAGCGAAGAAGCCCCUUUGGGGUGUAAAGCUCUGUCAGCUGGAACGAAAAAAUGACGGUACCAGCAGAGGAAGCAUCGGCUAACUACGUG